rnacentral:rRNA from 1 species
GGGCAACUACCACUCAGGGCCGGAAAGCUCUCCAAACUCGGUCAUUUAGAGGAAGUAAAAGUCGUAACAAGGUCUCCGUUGGUGAACCAGCGGAGGGAUCAUUACCGAGUUUACAACUCCCAAACCCAAUGUGAACCAUACCAAACUGUUGCCUCGGCGGGGUCACGCCCCGGGUGCGUCGCAGCCCCGGAACCAGGCGCCCGCCGGAGGGACCAACCAAACUCUUUUCUGUAGUCCCCUCGCGGACGUUAUUUCUUACAGCUCUGAGCAAAAAUUCAAAAUGAAUCAAAACUUUCAACAACGGAUCUCUUGGUUCUGGCAUCGAUGAAGAACGCAGCGAAAUGCGAUAAGUAAUGUGAAUUGCAGAAUUCAGUGAAUCAUCGAAUCUUUGAACGCACAUUGCGCCCGCCAGUAUUCUGGCGGGCAUGCCUGUCCGAGCGUCAUUUCAACCCUCGAACCCCUCCGGGGGGUCGGCGUUGGGGAUCGGGAACCCCUAAGACGGGAUCCCGGCCCCGAAAUACAGUGGCGGUCUCGCCGCAGCCUCUCCUGCGCAGUAGUUUGCACAACUCGCACCGGGAGCGCGGCGCGUCCACGUCCGUAAAACACCCAACUUCUGAAAUGUUGACCUCGGAUCAGGUAGGAAUACCCGCUGAACUUAAGCAUAUCAAUAAGCGGAGGAAAAGAAACCAACAGGGAUUGCCCCAGUAACGGCGAGUGAAGCGGCAACAGCUCAAAUUUGAAAUCUGGCCCCUAGGGUCCGAGUUGUAAUUUGUAGAGGAUGCUUUUGGUGAGGUGCCGCCCGAGUUCCCUGGAACGGGACGCCGCAGAGGGUGAGAGCCCCGUCUGGCUGGCCACCG